UAAUAUGUAAUACAUUAACGUUUUAAUGAAUAGUCUAACGAUUUAUAGUCGUUGUACUCUAUUGUUAUAAUAUGUCUUUUUGACUGAAUACAUGUUUGUUUUAUUUGUCUAUAUCCUAGAUUCGCAGCUGGACACAUCCUUCUACACUGUAUGCAAACAUGCAACAUCAUUAGACACAGUACAAGGAGUCAGACUGGCAUAUGAGGAGCAAAGGAACCCAGGCAGUAGCAUCGUUUCACAAUGUUUCCAUCACCAUCAUCAGUGGAUGCCUUUGCCGUCCGUUGCCUGAGAUUUCAGAUUUGCAGCAAAAAACUUGAUUUUCCCAUUUAUUGGAAUGCUGUGCAGGUUGUACCUUGCAGCCAUCCAUUACAAUGUCACCAAGCCGUAACAAAAGCAGGAGAGGGAAAGUACAAGGCUAUGUUCCCAAAACACACAAGUGACAUACUUUAUGUGGAUGAUGUGAUCAGGCUUGUGUUUGAUGAGGUAUUUGAAGAUAAGCUGAAGGAAACCCCGAUUCCAAUGGACCUGGCAUCACAGUUUGAGAGACCUUCAAAGGAGGACGUGAUUGCAUGCCAUCUUCA